rnacentral:rRNA from 1 species
AUUGAACGCUGGCGGCAGGCUUAACACAUGCAAGUCGAACGGAGUGGCGGACGGGUGAGUAAUGCUUGGGAAUCUAGCUUAUGGAGGGGGAUAACUACGGGAAACUGUAGCUAAUACCGCGUACCAUAGGAUGAGCCCAAGUGGGAUUAGGUAGUUGGUGAGGUAAAGGCUCACCAAGCCGACGAUCUCUAGCUGGUCUGAGAGGAUGAUCAGUCACACUGGAACUGAGACACGGUCCAGACUCCUACGGGAGGCAGCAGUGGGGAAUAUUGGACAAUGGGCGAAAGCCUGAUCCAGCCAUGCCGCGUGUGUGAAGAAGGUCUUCGGAUUGUAAAGCACUUUAAGUUGGGAGGCGUUACCAACAGAAUAAGCACCGGCUAACUUCGUGCCAGCAGCCGCGGUAAUUC